rnacentral:rRNA from 1 species
GACGAACGCUGGCGGCGUGCCUAAUACAUGCAAGUAGAACGCUGAAGAGAGGAGCUUGCUCUUCUUGGAUGAGUUGCGAACGGGUGAGUAACGCGUAGGUAACCUGCCUUGUAGCGGGGGAUAACUAUUGGAAACGAUAGCUAAUACCGCAUAACAAUGGAUGACACAUGUCAUUUAUUUGAAAGGGGCAAUUGCUCCACUACAAGAUGGACCUGCGUUGUAUUAGCUAGUAGGUGAGGUAAUGGCUCACCUAGGCGGCGAUACAUAGCCGACCUGAGAGGGUGAUCGGCCACACUGGGACUGAGACACGGCCCAGACUCCUACGGGAGGCAGCAGUAGGGAAUCUUCGGCAAUGGGGGCAACCCUGACCGAGCAACGCCGCGUGAGUGAAGAAGGCUUUCGGAUCGUAAAGCUCUGUUGUAAGUCAAGAACGGGUGUGAGAGUGGAAAGUUCACACUGUGACGGUAGCUUACCAGAAAGGGACGGCUAACUACGUG